AGUGAACGCUGGCGGUAGGCCUAACACAUGCAAGUCGAACGGCAGCACAGUAAGAGCUUGCUCUUACGGGUGGCGAGUGGCGGACGGGUGAGGAAUACAUCGGAAUCUACUUUUUCGUGGGGGAUAACGUAGGGAAACUUACGCUAAUACCGCAUACGACCUACGGGUGAAAGCAGGGGAUCUUCGGACCUUGCGCGAUUGAAUGAGCCGAUGUCGGAUUAGCUAGUUGGCGGGGUAAAGGCCCACCAAGGCGACGAUCCGUAGCUGGUCUGAGAGGAUGAUCAGCCACACUGGAACUGAGACACGGUCCAGACUCCUACGGGAGGCAGCAGUGGGGAAUAUUGGACAAAGGGCGCAAGCCUGAUCCAGCCAUACCGCGUGGGUGAAGAAGGCCUUCGGGUUGUAAAGCCCUUUUGUUGGGAAAGAAAAGCAGCAGGUUAAUACCCCGCUGUUCGGACGGUACCCAAAGAAUAAGCACCGGCUAACUUCGU
rnacentral:rRNA from 1 species